UAUGCAUGUGUAGAUGAAAGGGAAGAGCACUCAUAGCACCCAGCAAAAGCACACAAGUAGUCUACUUUUUCUGUCUGUUUUUCUUCUUUUUCUUCUUCUUCUUGUUUGUGCCUCUAUCCU
rnacentral:ribozyme from 12 species